rnacentral:rRNA from 1 species
CUAACAAGGAUUCCCCCAGUAACGGCGAGUGAAGCGGGAAUAGCUCAAAUUUGAAAUCUCCGGCGCUUGGGUCGGCGAAUUGUAGUUGCGAGAAGCACUUUCUAGGCGGAUCGGUCGUGCCUAAGUUGCUUGGAACAGUACGUCAUAGAGGGUGACAACCCCGUCUGUGGCUCGGCCGGCCGCUCACGAUGUGCUUUCGAAGAGUCGGGUUGUUUGGGAAUGCAGCCCAAAAAUGGUGGUAAACUCCAUCUAAAGCUAAAUACUGACGUGAGACCGAUAGCGAAGGAAACGAAUGGACUCAGCAAUGCGCCCUUUGAGAUUCAGCCGGGCGGUUGUGGCGGUGCGGGGCUUGCGGAUCUGAAUGGACCGCGGUCUCGGGCCCGUUGCUUCCGACCGUCGCACUUCUCUUGGACGCGAGUCAACGUCGGUUGGGACUGGGCCUCAAAGGUUCCGGGAAGGUAGGUCGGGACGCUCGCGUUCGGACUGUUACAGCCCGGUUCUCUCCCGGCUCGGGCCCGACCGAGGCGGAUGCAGCACAUGCCUCUUCUGGCUAGGGUCCCGUCCUUCCGGCCGGUUGUCGAAUGCGGUGGACUGCUUGCAGUGCUCUGCGAUUGCUGCCGGUCGUUGGGGUGGUGAUCU